AGUGAACGCUGGCGGUAGGCCUAACACGUGCAAGUCGAACGGCAGCACAGUAAGAGCUUGCUCUUACGGGUGGCGAGUGGCGGACGGGUGAGGAAUACAUCGGAAUCUACUUUUUCGUGGGGGAUAACGUAGGGAAACUUACGCUAAUACCGCAUACGACCUACGGGUGAAAGCAGGGGAUCUUCGGACCUUGCGCGAUUGAAUGAGCCGAUGUCGGAUUAGCUAGUUGGCGGGGUAAAGGCCCACCAAGGCGACGAUCCGUAGCUGGUCUGAGAGGAUGAUCAGCCACACUGGAACUGAGACAAGGUCCAGACUCCGACGGGAGGCAGCAGUGGGGAAUAUUGGACAAUGGGCGCAAGCCUGAUCCAGCCAUACCGCGUAGGUGAAGAAGGCCUUCGGGUUGUAAAGCCCUUUUGUUGGGAAAGAAAAGCAGCAGGUUAAUACCCCGCUGUUCUGACGGUACCCAAAGAAUAAGCACCGGCUAACUUCGUG
rnacentral:rRNA from 1 species